AGCUUUCCGUAGGUGACCUGCGGAAGGAUCAUUACCGAGUUGAUUCGGGCUCCGUCCCGAUCCUCCCACCCUUUGUAUACCUACCUCUGUUGCUUUGGCGGGCCGCGGUCUUCCGCGGCCGCCCCCCGAUUUUGGGGGGUGGCUAGUGCCCGCCAGAGGACUAUCAAACUCCAGUCAGUAAACGUUGCAGUCUGAAAAAAAUAUUAAAUAAACUAAAACUUUCAACAACGGAUCUCUUGGUUCUGGCAUCGAUGAAGAACGCAGCGAAAUGCGAUAAGUAAUGUGAAUUGCAGAAUUCAGUGAAUCAUCGAAUCUUUGAACGCACAUUGCGCCCCUUGGUAUUCCGGGGGGCAUGCCUGUUCGAGCGUCAUUUCAACCCUCAAGCUCUGCUUGGUAUUGGGCACCGUCCUUUGCGGGCGCGCCUCAAAGACCUCGGCGGUGGCGUCUUGCCUCAAGCGUAGUAGAAUACACCUCGCUUCGGAGCGUAAGGCGUCGCCCGCCGGACGAACCUUCUGAACUUUUCUCAAGGUUGACCUCGGAUCAGGUAGGGAUACCCGCUGAACUUAAGCAUAUCAAAA
rnacentral:rRNA from 1 species